CCGUGAACCUUUACUAUAGCUUGACACUGAACAUUGAGCCUUGAUGUGUAGGAUAGGUGGGAGGCUUUGAAGUGUGGACGCCAGUCUGCAUGGAGCCGACCUUGAAAUACCACCCUUUAAUGUUUGAUGUUCUAACGUUGACCCGUAAUCCGGGUUGCGGACAGUGUCUGGUGGGUAGUUUGACUGGGGCGGUCUCCUCCUAAAGAGUAACGGAGGAGCACGAAGGUUGGCUAAUCCUGGUCGGACAUCAGGAGGUUAGUGCAAUGGCAUAAGCCAGCUUGACUGCGAGCGUG
rnacentral:rRNA from 1 species